UACAUAGGGUGCAAACGUUGCUCGGAAUUAUUGGGCGUAAAGCGCGAGUAGGCGGUUACUUAAGUCGGAUGUGAAAGCCCUCGGCUUAACUGAGGAAGUGCACCCGAAACUGAGUAGCUAGAGUACGAAAGAGGGUCGCGGAAUUCCCGGUGUAGAGGUGAAAUUCGUAGAUAUCGGGAGGAACACCGGUGGCGAAGGCGGCGACCUGGGUCGAGACUGACGCUGAUCCGCGAAAGCGUGGGGAGCAAACAGG
rnacentral:rRNA from 1 species